UACAGAGGUGGCAAGCGUUGUUCGGAAUUACUGGGCGUAAAGCGUGUGUAGGCGGCUUCGUAAGUUGGAUGUGAAAUCCCACGGCUCAACCGUGGACGUGCAUCCAAAACUACGUCGCUGGAGUCUCGGAGAGGAAGGUGGAAUGCUUGGUGUAGAGGUGAAAUUCGUAGAUAUCAAGCAGAACACCUGUAGCGAAGGCGGCCUUCUGGACGGUUACUGACGCUGAGACGCGAAAGCGUGGGGAGCAAACAGG
rnacentral:rRNA from 1 species